UGCUAGAUAUGCUUAUUCCACAUUUAUCUCUCGGUCCCCACUGCGCGGGUGAAUAACGAGUUAGAACAACAAAAAACUAUCUUGUUAGGAACUUACAGCAAAAUGGGGGUGCACCGAAACCUAGAGGAAGGAUUUCCAGCACCGAGGUCCGGUAAUUGAGUCUCAUACACUAGCCAACUGUGCAACCGGAGAUCCGGGCUGACUGAUCCGCGCGGCACACCCCGCGGCUACAGACAGCGGGGAGCCGCAGAGAAGCGACCAGCAAGCAGGGAGAUUCCUGCAGAUUCUGUGGAAUCCUGACGCCUGAGCACUCACGGAGCCCCGGGCUGAGUUCGGGAUUUCAGACGGGGAAGGAAGCGGGACAGCUCUAUCCCCCACAACAGAAACUCCACCAAGGAAACCAGCGGCCACCAUCUUGGAGAGCUGAAGUAACCACUGCCACUCUCCCACAGAUUGCAACAAUAAAACAGGUGCGUGUUACUCAGCUCCUCUCCCAUACAGCGGGGAAUUGGCAAAAAAUCUCUCCUAGGCUCUCCAGGGGAGGGAUUAUCAGAGCAAGCCUGCAUAAAGACGCGGGGAGAACUAGAGACACCCGACCUUCAACUCCCCCUCCCAUCAGCAGGGAAAACGAAACCUGUAUUGCCAGCGCGGGGGGAGGGGCAAGCUGAAAAAAUCAAAACAAUAGAGUGCCGGGGGGUUUUCAAUAGCCACCCUCCACACCCAACAAACGGCAGGCCCAGAGUACAGUUUGAACUGCCGAGAGGCAUCACUCAGGGGAAAACUAGUCUAGCAGGAGAAACCAGGACUAGCAGGAGAAACCAGGGGAAUAGAGGCCAGGCCCUCGCGACUGGGCAGCUGGAUAAACUCCACCCGCUGCCCGCGAGACUGGGUGGCUGGAGUCCUCCCCCCCGCCUUUGACCCACUGCGCGUCUGGGCAGCUAGAGAUUGCCCGCCUACCAGCAACAGCCGGCCCAUUACCCCUGCGACUGGGUGGCUGGAGACCGCACGCCCGCCUGCGACAGCCAGCCCAUUGCCCCUGUGUCUGGGUGGCUAGAGAUCGCCCGCCCACCAGCGACAGCCAGCCCAUUGCCCCUGCGACUGAGCAGCUGGAAACCGCACGCCUGCUGAUGAAGUGUACCUAUACAAAUAGCAGACAGCAUGGUGAGACAUCUGAAUUUCCCGCUUUCUAUCAGGCACAAGAGAAGAAUACCAAAUAUGCAACAUAUUCAACAUGGGACUGGGUUGGGUCUUUCCAGAGUUGUAAUACAGAAAAAGAUAAUGUUCAAAAUAGCAGAAAUAGGUUGUCAGUAUUCAAAGAUGAUAUGAUGGCAUAUGCUGAAAAUCAAACAGGACCGAGAGAUAAAUGUGGAAUAAGCAUAUCUAGCAUGGUUGUCAGAAAGAAAAUCAACAUACGACCCUGACAUGCGUACACACCAGCAGUGGUACAUUCUGCUUUGAACUUAAAAUUUCAAAACUGAUACAGUUUUCAAUGGUAUCAAAUACCUAGGAAAAAGCCAAGGCAAGUGAGACCUCUUUAGAGAAAUUUGUAAUUUUAUUGGGAGAAUUGGAAGUCAAAUAUCCAAUACAACAACAGCCUGCAGUGUUUUCACUUUGUCUUCAUUUAUACCUCAGGUGGCCCUUCACCUGUAAUAUAAGCAUAACAGUUGGGGACAUUAUCAGCAGAACUCGAUUUAUGGGGUAUUAAAAACAUAUCAAUAACACCAGAAAUUUGGUUCUGUAACACAGACCAAAUCAAGAUCCGUGCGUGUCACUGUUUGGCUUACAUUCAGUUACACCUCUGUGGAGACCUUGAAGAGAGACUUAUAGUCUUGGAUGUUAUCACUAUUCUUAUAACACACCAUACUUUCUAAUGGUACAGAAAAUCAAGAGACUGACUUUUAAAAACAGUUAAUAAAACAUAAAUUCAUCUUCAAAAGCAAAGAUAAUUUUAAGUAGAGAGUAAAAAUCUGGAACAUUUUUACUAAAAAUCUAUGCAACACAAAAAAUAAAAUGAAUUAAGAAAAAAAGUAUAAUUAAAAUGUUUUAGAUAGAAAUAAUAAUUUGGAUAUACAGUUAAUAUCACAUUUGGAACUGGAUACAUGAUGUGAAAGGGAAUUUAAGUAUUUCAUUUGUCUGUGGAAAACUGUUGGUUUUGGCUAGAUUACCCCUGGAUGAUUUCUAAGAUGGUGACCAUGAUUCUUUAUUUUUCACCUAUACUACAUCCAUGAAUAUGAAUAGCACCUCUUUUUUUUUACAUUCAAAAGCACUCUACUUUGUAAAAAUAAAUUAUAUGGUCACAUUAGUUUUCAGCUCUGACCAUUAGUUUUAACAUUCAAAUGAGAAGAAGGUAUAUGCCAUGUCUCAUAGUAUGGCAAUCAAAAACUAAAUGAAAACAAAGGAAAACUGGAGAAAGAGAGGGAGAGGGAGAGUAAGAUAAAUUCAAAAGGAAACAUUUAUAUCUAAUAAUUGCUUUGGAAUGGCAACAGCUUUUCUAGAUAUUAGUGAUGUUUAGAUUCAUGUACUACUGGAGUGUCCUAAAUAAUGUGUGCUCUUGUGUCAUAGCAAUUUCAUUCAUAUAUUUAAAAUAUCAGAAUUUAAGAAUGUAUUCCCUUUAAAUUACGUGAUAUAUUUGCUAUCUGUUAGUAUCCUGCUCAUUUUCCUUGUUGGGAUUUUUCCACUGUCUUUUACAUUAUGAAAUCUGAAUUGUGACCUUGAUCACCAGCAAUCUUGUCAUUUAUUAGUUGGAUUACUGGCUCCUUUUAUCAUUCAUACAGGUCUUUCAUUAAGUACCCCUUUUCCUUUCCAUUAGGUUUAUCCUGUUGCUCUUACAUAUAUUUGUAUAUAGCAUGAUCACAUACUUUGACAUUUAUCUUAACAUCAUAUUCGUUUAAAGUAUGAUAUUCCUAAGACUGUGUUAUAAUCAUGUUCAUUAGGUUUCUGGAAGUGGUCAGAAAACAAUUUUCUACCAUAAAUAGUCAAAUAGGAAGGUUUAGCAUUGCAUAGGAAAAGCAUUUAGAAAACUAGUGUAAUUUCUUCCCUUGAUACAAAGUGCUUCAUUAAAUUCAGAAGCCCUCAUAACUUAUGGUCAUCCACUUGGAAAACACAUUUAUAAAUCAUACUUAAGUGGACUACAAAGAAAGCAAUACUCCAUGGUGUUUGAACUUCAACAUUUAUCCAGUAACAUCUCAAGGUAAAAACAUGUACUAUAUAAUAUAUGGUAUGGGUAGACAAGAUGGUAUAAUAUAAUGUCCAUUGUCACAGUAGAAAAAUUACAUUAUAUGCACAUUUGAAACUGCCAAAUCAUAACCCAUUAUUUUGUACAAGUCAUAGACACAGAUAAUUAUAAUUUUAAAAAGUCUGCAUUGUAGUGAAUCAAAGAGAGAUAAAAGGCCAGAAGUCUUCCAGUCAGAAAACCAAUUCUUCCUUUGAAGCUGGAAAUUAUUUUGCCUCCUUGUAGCUUCACCAGGGUCAUUCCUGUGGUGUUUUUCACUCUUUUUCCUGCCUGACCUUCCUUCCUAUACUUCAUGGCUCUUAAGUGCAGGAUUUAUGUCUGACUCACCUUCACUAUUCCUUGCAAGGAUUCGGGCUGCUCUGUGCAGUAGGUGCUAAUGAAUAUUUAUAUUUGUGAACUGAAUAAAUUUGUGAUCAGGGAAGGUGACACAUACACGUAUUUGCAGCUAUUUGGAGGCUGAGGUAGG
rnacentral:lncRNA from 1 species